rnacentral:tRNA from 1 species
GGCGUCGUGGUCGAGUGGUUAAGGCGACAGACUAGAAAUCUGUUGGGCUCUGCCCGCACAGGUUCGAAUUCUGUCGGCGACG